rnacentral:rRNA from 1 species
AGCGAACGCUGGCGGCAGGCUUAACACAUGCGAGUCGAGCGGGCACUUUCGGGUGUCCGCGGCGGACGGGUGAGUAACGCGUGGGAACGUGCCCUCUGGUUCGGAAUAACUCAGGGAAACUUGAGCUAAUACCGGAUACGCCCUUUUGGGGAAAGGCUUGCUGCCGGAGGAUCGGCCCGCGUCUGAUUAGCUAGUUGGUGAGGUAACGGCUCACCAAGGCGACGAUCAGUAGCUGGUCUGAGAGGAUGAUCAGCCACACUGGGACUGAGACACGGCCCAGACUCCUACGGGAGGCAGCAGUGGGGAAUAUUGGACAAUGGGCGCAAGCCUGAUCCAGCCAUGCCGCGUGAGUGAUGAAGGCCCUAGGGUUGUAAAGCUCUUUUAUCCGGGACGAUAAUGACGGUACCGGAGGAAUAAGCCCCGGCUAACUUCGUG